UUCAGACGCUAUUCAUCUCCUUCGAUAGAGAACCAGAGCGGUGGCAGUUCUCAGUUCGGUAACCUUGUCCAGCUCCGGUGUAUCGUCUCCCCUCUUCGAACUGUUCAUCUUCAUCGCAAAGCGGCGAAUCCAUCGGUGGCGAACGACCCUCAUUCAGCACUAUUCAUCGGCGUCUUCCUUCGAACCCAAAACCAGAGCGGCCGCGGCAGUGAGAAGGAUCUCUCGACAUAGCGGCGUCCCCCUUGCACCUCUAGCCUCUCUCUUUCUCUCAUUUUCUCUCUUCCUUCGAUCUUUCCCUCCCUCUUUCUCUUCCUCUAUUCUUCCCUAGUCCCUACCAUCCUUUCUGUCGCUUGUCCACUGUUCGUCGUCUUCCUGACGAGAACAGGGAGCUCUCAGCGGUGACGUUUCCCACUUCCACUCACAACCAAUCAGUGCUCCAUCAAUUCUUGAUAACUUUUAUUUUAAUUCCUCACCCCCUUGUCACCAUUCUUCGGUUCCCUAAUCAUCCCCCAAACUUUUGCUCUCUGUCUUUUCCGCGGGUUAAUCAGAACUUCGGAACUGGUAAUGGCAUUUCACUGUUUAAGACCACAUCCCCCUUUUAGCUUCGAACGACAAGCGUUUCCAUCCUCACCAACUUCCUGGUCACAACCUACAAGCACCUCUGUUGUUUGAAGACAAGUCAGACCGAAACUGAUUGGGACCUCCUUAUUCCAUCGAUCAAGCCAAAGUCGAAGCCCGACCAGUUGUUAGUCAUCAUCUCAGUUUAGAGAAAGAGAUCGAAACGGGCUGUGAUAUCCCCUAUUGCAACGUUGAUCAUAUUAAUGCUGAAAUCCAAUUAACGAGAGACAAUGGAAACGGUUUAGAAUGUGCUUGUGAAGUUUGGAGAUGGGGAAAGAAUGUGGAUAAGCAUCAAAGGCAGCGACAAGGAUUUUGUAGUAGAUGUUUCUUGUUGGAUGCAUAUUUAAGGAAUAACAACAUACAUGGAUGAAGUGAUUGAGAUCAACGUUUUUCAUUUUUAUUAUGAUUUAUUAUAUGUAAUAAGACAAAUUGACACUUGUUAAAGAUGCAACGAGUGACUCUUGAAGCAUAGUGGAAGACAAUGGAUAAUUCUUUUAUAUUUAAAAUUUCUCUAUUUUUUUUUGAAAGUCAUGUAGAUUUUAAUAUGUAUUGAGGAAAAUUUGAUAUUUGUAAUACAUUUUAAAGAAUGGAUGUAAUUUUUUUGGUAGAACAAUGUAUGUAU